rnacentral:rRNA from 1 species
CAGCCGCCGCGGGAAAACGGAGGGUGCAAGCGUUAAUCGGAAUUACUGGGCGUAAAGCGCACGCAGGCGGUCUGACAAGUCAGAUGUGAAAUCCCCGGGCUUAACCUGGGAACUGCAUUUGAAACUGUCAGGCUGGAGUCUUGUAGAGGGGGGUGGAAUUCCAGGUGUAGCGGUGAAAUGCGUAGAGAUCUGGAGGAAUACCGGUGGCGAAGGCGGCCCCCUGGACAAAGACUGACGCUCAGGUGCGAAAGCGUGGGGAGCAAACAGGAUUAGAUACCCCGGUAGUCCCUGUCUCUUAUCA